rnacentral:tRNA from 1 species
AGUAGUAUAAUCUAACCAAGAUAUUUCAUUGAUGUAGAAAAUAUAGAGAUAUUCUUACUACUA